AAUCAACGCUGGCGGCGUGCCUCAGACAUGCAAGUCGAACGCGAAAGUCCCCUUCGGGGGAUGAUUAGAGUGGCGCACGGGUGAGUAACACGUAGGUAAUCUACCUUCGAGUGGGGAAUAACUCAGGGAAACUUGAGCUAGUACCGCAUAAUGCAGCGGCACCACAUGGUGACAGUUGUUAAAGCAUUUAUGCGCUUGAAGAGGAGCCUGCGGCGGAUAGCUAGUUGGUAAGGUAAUGGCUUACCAAGGCUACGAUCUGUAACCGGCCUGAGAGGGCGGACGGUCACACUGACACUGAAUAACGGGUCAGACUCCUACGGGAGGCAGCAGUCGGG
rnacentral:rRNA from 1 species